UAGUGAAGAUUUUAGUAUCUCCUAGGAUCCUCUUCAGCAAGGACAUGUAAAGUCUGAAAGAAAGAGAACACCUAAAGUUCCAUUGCUGAGCACAAAGUUCUUCAAAUGUCUACUGGAAGAACAUGUCUGGGAUGCAGUCAGGGGUUUCCCAUGACAUCCGUGAUCGA